GUUUUGUUUGAAAGAAAAUUUUGAUAAGGAUGGAAGAUCUUAAGUGGUUUUCAUCAACAUAUGUGGUUAAAACUUUGUCACCUUCUCCGUGGCAUGUCAAACCAGGGUUUUCC